rnacentral:lncRNA from 10 species
GAGCAGCACAUGGCUGGAGCAGUGGCACAGUGGGUUCUGACUUACAUCUCAGGAGAAUCCUGUUGUCUCGGGCAGAGAACAGGAGGACAGGCUGCAGUGCUGGUGGACAGGAAAGUGCAGAAUGGGCAGGAUGUAUCUUUUUUUCCAAGAGAUUCUGCAAAUCUCAAUCCAUAUGGGGCUUUUAGUGCCAAACAUACUCUAUGGUCUGUGUGAGGCUGAAAAUAUAUGACUCACGAGUCACCACUGCCCUUGCCCUGUCCGUGGUAGACAUUAUUAAUCAAUUACAGGCACUCUUCACCACUGAGCUCAGAUGUAGCUCCUUCCACAGCCAUCACACAUGAUACAUGUCCUGGCCGGGGCAAGGAAACCUCCUGACCAUCCAGAUGAGAGACAUUAAUUGAUGCUGCUCACCACACUGUUGUUUCUCCUUUUUUUUAUGUGUACGGUGGCCUCUGAGCAGGG